GUGGACAGUGAGAGAGAGAGAGACAGAGAGAAAGGUCUUCCUUUUUCCGUUGGUUCACCCCCCAGUGGCCGCUGCAGCCGGUGCUGAUCAGAUGGCAGGAGCCAGGUGCUUCUCCUGGUCUCCCAUGGGGUGCAGGGCCCAAGCACUUGGGCCAUCCUCCACUGCACUCCCUGGCCACAGCAGAGACCUGGCCUGGAAGAGGGGCAACUGGGACAGAAUCCGACGCCCCAACUGGGACUAGAACCCCGUGUGCCAGCGCCGCAAGGCGGAGGAUUAGCCUAGUGAGCCGCGGCGCUGGCCAAGCAUAGAAAUUUAUGAGGGAUCACCUGCUACCUUCUAGGGUGACGUCGGCAGGAAGCUGGGGUCAGGAGCAGAGCCUGGACUCACACCUGGGCCCUCCAGCACACGAUGCAGCAUCCCCAGCAGCCUCUCCAUACACCUCCAAACGACCAGGACAGUGGGAAGAGGCAGGAUAACAUCUCUCCUCUGAACACGAUCUUCUCUCCAUUUUCUGGCCUAGGACCAAGGAAGAGGAAGAAACACUGGAAUUACCAAAUGGAGCAUGACUCUUUUUCCAGACAUCAGGCCCGACCAUGGGAAUGAAAACGUCACUUGGCAACUGCUCCCCUUUCUGUCCGCAGAAGCGAUGACACCUCAGGAAAAAGCUUACCUCCGCACACUUCCCAAAACCUUGUAAGGUCAGGAGUACAGGCCGGGAGCUUUGUGUUUUUUUAUGUCCGAUUUAAAGGCAUCACAAUCUUUUUCAGAGAGGUUUCAAUCUACAAAAUAACUCAGGGAAGAGACUAUCUAACAUUUGUCAUGUUAAAAACAACUAAAAUCAGUUCAUUGUCAUUUGUUUCAAGUUAAACUAAUUAUCAUGAAAGGGUGGCUCCUGUCUUUCAUUUUUUUAAAACCAUCGUCUUUUAAAAUCAUUUAAAUAUUGUUUUAGCCUAGUUAUAUUAAGAUUAAUCUAAUGUGUGGUUGUUGUUUAAGUUAACUGGCAAAAAUGCAAAAGUACAAAAUCUGAAACAUAACCAAUCCUGAGGGCAAAUUUUUAGAGUAAAAUGUUAAAUUCAUCUCAAGAGAAUAAUGCCAUUUUUUUUAAUAUUCUUUCAGAAAUUCACCAGGAAAACCUACCUGCUAAUUUGUCUUGAUUGAGCCUUUAUGAACCCUUCUAGUACCUGUGUCUGCUUCAUUAUUUCAUAAUAAAAGCUAAACCCUCACUAAUAACUCCGACAGCAGAAGAAAGUCAGCACAGAACAGAAGAUGAAAAUAGGCAUCCUAAAGAUAUUGCAGUGUUUUCAGAAGGACAAAUACAGAAAGCAAAUUAAUGGCUGAUAAAUAUUGGGAGAUAUUUAAUGACUAAAGCCUCAUAUACUUAAAUGUUAUAAGGCAGACACAAAGUGCUUGAAAGCUCAAGGAUUUGUUGAGCUCUUAUCGUAUGACAUCCUGAAAGCCUUUGGAAACAGUAAAACAUAAAAGUCACCACUCCACUUCCUUCUGAGAGAGACUCUAAAUGCCACUGAAAGUUCAAGGUACUAAAAUGCCCUGAUACCUUAAAGAUCUUCAAUCCUGGAAUAAGGAUCCAAAAUGUUUUAAUGUUGCCAACAGAUUGACAAAAAUGAUCCUUGAGUCUAAGAAUUCUCCUUAUCUCAAACUUAUUUCUUAGACUUUGCCAAGUUAGAGUAUUAUAAAAUGUUUAGAAAUAGAUUGCAUCCUGACAAAUAAUUCUAGUUGAAUUUUAUGAUUGAAAUGUUUGCUAAAAUUUAAUUCACCUCCAUUUAUUUUUAGACUUCUGUAUUUGACAAGGAUUAAUGAAUUUACAGGUGAUUUUCCACUCUAAAGCAACAAAUAAAAUGAAAUCCAAGAGCUCACCUUGGGAGAUAUGUGAUAAUACAAGAGGCAAUGUCUGUAUUUAUACAAUCCAGUAUUUUAAUUGUCUAAAAUAUUAUGAGUCUGCUGGUGUCUUUGCUGCUGGAGGAAGUCUUAAAAUCUAAAAUUGAAAUUGAAAGUUUAAAUGACCUCACUACAGCUAUUAAAUUCAAGAAAUAGAUUUUUUUUAUGAUUUUGCAUCUCUUAAUUUGAUAUCACUCAAGGGAAGUACAGUAUUAAUCUUUAAAUUCAGAUCCUGAUCCUAUCAAUUAUUAUUUACUUCAUAAAGGGCCUUUUUGUGGCUACUGGGCCUUUGUUUACAGGAUGAGUUAUAUCCAAGGUUUUGUCAUUGAAAUGAACUCUCUCUAGUUUCUACAACUGUUAGCUCUGAAGCCGGGUAUCUCCUUACCACAUAGCUAAUAUGUAAAUUCAUUAGAAAGAUAAUUCAGAAAUUAUUUCAGUGUUUGUGAUCCAUUGCUUACCCUUAUUUUCUCUGAAAUAGUCCAUCAAACAACUAGGCAGGAAAAAUAGAGGAAAUAAUAAAAUAAAAUCAAAAAAUUAUACUUGAGGAAAAAUCUGGGGGCAGAACAAAGCUAUCGUUGAAGAUAUGAGAAGAAAGUGGAGUGGUAACUUUUAUGUUUUACUGUGUCCAAAAUUUUAAAAAUUUAUUGAUUUAUUUGAAAGGCUGAGUGUCAGAGAGAUAUGGAAGAGACAUAAACAGAGAGAGAGAGAAGUUUUCCUUUGUAUGGUUCACUCUCCAAUUGGCCAUAAAAGCCAAGAGCCAAUAACUCCACCUUGGCGUCCCAAAUGGAUACCAAGGGUCUGAGUACUUGGGCCGUCUUCUGCUGUCUUCCUAGGUGUAUUAAUAGGAAGCUCAUUUGGAAGUGGAACAGCCAGGACUGGACCUGGCACACUGAGAUGGGAGACGGGUGUCACAAGGAGCAGCUUAACCCUCUGAAACACAGUGUCUGUCCCUUUCACUGUUUUUAUGGUGCCAGAUGGUAUGACAAAGAAAUUUCCCAUUAAUACAUUGAAAUUAUCCAUGAUUAUUAGUAGGACAAAGUCAAAUAAUGAUAUGUACAUCUAAAAUAGACAGUGGUAGUCAUCUGUGGAGAAAAAUAUUCGUAGAGGAAUUUUUAGGUUAAAUUUAGUACAUCAAACUUGUCCUUAGCGUGAUAAUUUUCCAUUGUCCAACAACCCAGCCUUCAGAAACAGUUUUAAGUGAUCACAGGAGGUAUGAGACAGAAUGGGAUUGACUUGAAGGUAUGUAGAAAUUUAAGUUGGGGAAUGAAGUGUGAAGGAAGCCUAUUAGCUAGAAAUUCUUACAUGUUUCUAUUUGAUUCUAGAAAUGCAGACAGAACACAUCAAACAGAAAAGUCUGGAAUGGUAGAGAAUGAUAUUUUUUUAAAAGAUCACUUUAUUUAUUUGAAAGUCAGAGUUAUACACAGAGAGAAGGAGAGGCAGAGAGAGAGAGAGAGAGAGAGAGAGAAGUCUUUCAUCCGCUGGUUCUCUCCUCAGAUGGCCGCAAUGGCUGGAGCUGCACCGAUCUGAAGCCAGGAGCCAGGAGCUUCUCCUUGGUUUUUCACCUGGGUUCAGGGGCCCACUCACUUGGGCCAUCUUUUACUGCUUUCCCAGGGCAUAACAGAAAGCUGGAUCGGAAGUGGAGCAGCCAGGACUCGAACCAACGCCCAUAAGGGAUGCCCACACUGCAGGUGAUGACUUCACCCGCUAUGCCAUAGUGCUGGCCCUGAGAAUAAUAUUUGUUUAUAAGCAUGGUGAUAAGGAAGCUUUGGUGAGUGAUUUCUCCUGGGUUGUGUUGGGAAAGAAUCAUUGGUGCUAUAUGCAUGACAAACUAGAGACAGAGAUGUAAAUUAACUUAUUGAGAUGUUUGGAUGAGAAAGAAAGCAGAAAGAUAAUUCUUAGAAGAGGUGUUGCAUUAAAAUAAAGUUUGUUAGAAACAGAGAAGACAAGUUGAUUUAUAGGUUCAGAGGAUGCAGCAAGUUGAGAGGCAGAAACUGAAAACACAGAAGUCGGACAUAAGGCAAGGUAUGAUAGCUAACAGAGACAGGUUGCAGAUGGCACAGGUUUAGGGAUUGGUUUAAAAAGUGGGAAGCCAUUGAUUUCAUAGUUACUUGGGAAAAGAAAAAGAGCUCAGGUUUAUGUACAAACAAAUUUGUGUGUUUGGAGCUUGGAGACUGAGGCGGCUCUGGGUUAAAUGCUUCACCAGCUUCAGAACAGCUGUAAACAAGGUCCUCUGCUGUGACAUAGGUUGUGGGGCUUGAUCAUGGAACUUAAGAGAGAUUGGGAUCUGGCAUAACCAUUGACAGGAAUGGAGGAGGGAAACGGUCAAGGACAAAAACUCUAGCUCUGGUUACAGAUGAGCCAGCUGAGAUUUGAAAUGGUACACUAAAGAGAACAGUAGUUUGGGUCAUAUGGUACUUUCUAUACAAGUGCUCAGUGCUCAGAUAUAGGAGAACAGAGGUGUAUUUCAGCAUUAUUGCAGGCUUUUUUCUUUUAAGUGAGGUUAGCAGAGAAAGAAGAGUACAAAGAAUCUGAGGGUGAUUGGGGAGUUAUUUAGAUAAUCAGACAGUGUGGAGUUGAAGAUAAGUAAAAAGACAGGAUAACAGAAGUCUAAUAGCUUAAGAGAAAACAGAAGGGGAAAAAAACCCUUGGGAAACCAACAUUGUUCAUAAUACAUAGAAAUAAAUAAGCAAGAGACUCCAAAAAAGCUAAGAGGUUUAGGCCAUGGAUAAGAACUACAGAUCAUUUUACACACGGCCAUCUAAGGUGUAAUUUGAGCAAGCUCAUAAUAAUACCUAGCAUUUAUAAUAAUCUUUAUGUCUCCAGUGUGCUUUUCUCUCAUUAGCUACUUCUCACUGUUCUGGUGAACAAAAAAGAAGAGGUAUUACUUCACUGACAAAAAGGAAGACUGAGGUAGUAUGUGUUUUUAAGAGAUUUACCGAAGAUUAUGGAGAGUUUACAAAGAAGUAAAUGUAGACAAUGAUGGUGCUUAUUGGGAAAUUAGAUUGUAAAAAGGCCAAUUAAAAAAAAAACAAGUAUGACCUCACAAAAAUUUUGAGUGAAGUCUUACCACGUUUUCUUAUUUGUUUGAGAGACAAGCUAUUUCACAAAUAUUGCUGUAGACCACAUUCUGCAGUGAAGUGGGGAGGUUUGAAAGAAUGGUACAGAUGAAGAUGCCCAUGUCCUACGUGAUGAAGCCUUCAGAAAAAUAUACCAGCAGCAAGCCAUUGUUAAAGAGACAAAGUUAUGGGCUGGUGCUGUGGCGUAGCAGGUAAAACCACUGCCUAAAGUGCCGGCAUCCCAUAUGGGUACCGGUUCAAAUCCUGGCUGCUCCACUUCCAAUCCAGCUCUUUGCUAUGGCCUGAAAAAGCAGUGGCAUAUGGCCCAAGUGAUUGGGCCCCUGAACCCAAGUGAAAGACCAGGAAGUAUCUCCUGGCUUCAGAUUGGCCCAGUUCCAACCUUUGCAGCCACUUGGGGAGUGAAUCAGCAGAUGGAAGAUCUCUCUCUUUCUCAGCUCUCUGUAACUCUUGCUUUCUAACAAAUAAAUAAAUAUUACAAAAAGAGGAAAGAAGAAAAUCCUUAAAAUAAAAAAAGAGAGAGGCAAGUGAGAGAGAGAGUGGAGGGGGAAAGUGAGUCGCAUCCCUCAUGCAGUCUAUCCCAACCAAUGUAAAGAGCUGAGGUGAGCUGCAGUGCUCACCUCACAGGUUAAAAUAUUCUAGAAUUCUCUGCCUCUCUUUUUUCUUACUAUUAUAUACAUCCUCCUGUGUUUCUCUUCUUCUUCUCUCCAAACUUCAAGAGCUAAAUCAAUACACACCCCAAACCCAGACUACAAUGGUUUAUUCUACCUUUCUUCCUCUCCUUUUUCCCCACUCUCCUUGUCUUCUGAAUGGACAACUCUCAGCCUUCUCCUGUGUUAAAAUUUGCCUUACAGAAUUACAGAGAAGUGAGGGAGAAAGUAAAGGGCUGAAGAUCUAAUACAUUGAAAUGCAUAUUCCUGUUGUUA